rnacentral:rRNA from 1 species
UACGUAGGGUGCGAGCGUUGUCCGGAAUUAUUGGGCGUAAAGAGCUCGUAGGCGGUUUGUCGCGUCUGCUGUGAAAACUGGAGGCUCAACCUCCAGCCUGCAGUGGGUACGGCGAGACUAGAGUGCGGUAGGGGAGAUUGGAAUUCCUGGUGUAGCGGUGAAAUGCAUAGAUACCAUCCAGAACCCCGAUUGCGAAGCAG